AGCCACACUCGGGCUCUUUGGAUCCGACUUUAUCCUUUAUGGGGUCUGCGCUUCCUGAUUGAUCCCUGUGGGGACAGUGGAGCUAUUUACUGAGCUGGUCAUGUCGUAAUCCCCUGAUGAAGCCAAGGGUUUGGCGAAACUAGUCGGAAGGACCUGACCGUUUGUACAUAUGACACUUUGCUCCCAUGUUUACAAUGUACUGUUCAAGUCAUUAAAUAGACUUGUAAUAUUUUUCUGUAACUUCAAUAAAAUUAUUUAUUUUUGUAUU